GAUGAACGCUGGCGGUGUGCCUAAUACAUGCAAGUCGAGCGAACAGACGAGGAGCUUGCUCCUCUGACGUUAGCGGCGGACGGGUGAGUAACACGUGGAUAACCUACCUAUAAGACUGGGAUAACUUCGGGAAACCGGAGCUAAUACCGGAUAACAUGUUGAACCGCAUGGUUCAACAGUGAAAGACGGUCUUGCUGUCACUUAUAGAUGGAUCCGCGCCGCAUUAGCUAGUUGGUAAGGUAACGGCUUACCAAGGCAACGAUGCGUAGCCGACCUGAGAGGGUGAUCGGCCACACUGGAACUGAGACACGGUCCAGACUCCUACGGGAGGCAGCAGUAGGGAAUCUUCCGCAAUGGGCGAAAGCCUGACGGAGCAACGCCGCGUGAGUGAAGAAGGUCUUCGGAUCGUAAAACUCUGUUAUUAGGGAAGAACAAAUGUGUAAGUAACUAUGCACGUCUUGACGGUACCUAAUCAGAAAGCCACGGCUAACUACGUG
rnacentral:rRNA from 1 species